rnacentral:rRNA from 1 species
UGGGGAAUAUUGGACAAUGGGGGGAACCCUGAUCCAGCCAUGCCGCGUGUGUGAAGAAGGCCUUAUGGUUGUAAAGCACUUUAAGCGAGGAGGAGGGUACUGGUAUUAAUACUACCAGGUACUGGACGUUACUCGCAGAAUAAGCACCGGCUAACUCUGUGCCAGCAGCCGCGGUAAUACAGAGGGUGCGAGCGUUAAUCGGAUUUACUGGGCGUAAAGCGUGCGUAGGCGGCUAAUUGAGUCGGAUGUGAAAUCCCCGAGCUUAACUUGGGAAUUGCAUUCGAUACUGGUUUGCUAGAGUGUGGGAGAGGAUGGUAGAAUUCCAGGUGUAGCGGUGAAAUGCGUAGAGAUCUGGAGGAAUACCGAUGGCGAAGGCAGCCAUCUGGCCUAACACUGACGCUGAGGUACGAAAGCAUGGGGAGCAAACAGG